rnacentral:ncRNA from 2 species
ACUUUAAAAGUUUAUAAAGGAUUAAAGGGAAUUAAGUGCAAGUCUUAAGCUGUCCUAGCAACUGUAAAACUGACGAAUGUUAAAUAAACCACUGAAUAACAUAUUUGGGAAGAAUUAACUAGUAGGAUGAAGUAAAGCCAGUAGACCGUCCUUAUAAAUUUAAUAAGA